CCUACGGGUGGCAGCAGUGGGGAAUAUUGGACAAUGGGGGCAACCCUGAUCCAGCCAUGCCGCGUGUGUGAAGAAGGCCCUCGGGUUGUAAAGCACUUUCAGUGAGGAAGAACGCCUGGUGGUUAAUACCCAUCAGGAAAGACAUCACUCACAGAAGAAGCACCGACUAACUCCGUGCCAGCAGCCGCGGUAAUACGGAGGGUGCGAGCGUUAAUCGGAAUUACUGGGCGUAAAGCGCGCGUAGGUGGCUUGAUAAGCCGGUUGUGAAAGCCCCGGGCUCAACCUGGGAACGGCAUCCGGAACUGUCAAGCUAGAGUGCAGGAGAGGAAGGUAGAAUUCCCGGUGUAGCGGUGAAAUGCGUAGAGAUCGGGAGGAAUACCAGUGGCGAAGGCGGCCUUCUGGACUGACACUGACACUGAGGUGCGAAAGCGUGGGUAGCAAACAGGAUUAGAUACCCGGGUAG
rnacentral:rRNA from 1 species